rnacentral:rRNA from 1 species
AGCAGCCGCGGUAAUUCCAGCUCCAAUAGCGUAUAUUAAAGUUGUUGCAGUUAAAAAGCUCGUAGUUGAAUUUCGGGAUCAAUAUGUCUGUCGUGCCUUCGGUACGUACGGGUAUAAUUGGUUUCUACCUUCUGAUGAACCUUGAUGCCAUUAAUUUGGUGUCUUGGGGACUCAGGACUGUUACCUUGAAAAAAUUAGAGUGUUUAAAGCAGGCAUGCGCUUGAAUACAUUAGCAUGGAAUAAUGAAAUAGGACGUUCGAUUCUAUUUUGUUGGUUUCUAGGAUCGACGUAAUGAUUAAUAGGGAUAGUUGGGGGCAUUAGUAUUCAAUUGUCAGGGGUGAAAUUCUUGGAUUUAUUGAAGACUAACUACUGCGAAAGCAUUUGCCAAGGAUGUUUUCAUUAAUCAAGAACGAAAGUUAGGGGAUCGAAGACGAUCAGAUACCGUCGUAGUCUUAACCAUAAACUAUGCCGACUAAGGAUCGGAUGAUGUUAAUUUUUAAUGACUCAUUCGGCGUCCG